UACGUAGGGGGCUAGCGUUGUCCGGAAUCAUUGGGCGUAAAGCGCGUGUAGGCGGCCCGGUAAGUCCGCUGUGAAAGUCGGGGGCUCAACCCUCGGAUGCCGGUGGAUACUGUCGGGCUAGAGUGCGGAAGAGGUGAGUGGAACUCCGAGUGUAGAGGUGAAAUUCGUAGAUAUUCGGAAGAACACCAGUGGCGAAGGCGGCUCACUGGUCCGGUACUGACGCUGAGGUGCGAAAGCGUGGGGAGCAAACAGG
rnacentral:rRNA from 1 species